ACGACGGCCCCGCCUACCACCACCCUCGAGGUGACGACGACGGCCCCCCAUAGCACCACCCUCGAGGUGACGACGACGGCCCCCCAUAGCACCACCCUCGAGGUGACGACGACGGCCCCCCAUAGCACCACCCUCGAGGUGACGACGACGGCCCCCCAUAGCACCACCCUCGAGGUGACGACGACGGCCCCCCAUAGCACCACCCUCGAGGUGACGACGACGACGGCCCCCCCAUAGCACCACCCUCGAGGUGACGACGACGGAGAUGACUACCACAGCAAUCGCCACCACUCAGCAGCAGCAGGGGUGCUGCUGAAGAGUGGGGAAACAAGCAAGUCAUGAAAUGCAUAAAAUACUGAUACAAAACUAGAAAAUAUUAGGUGAAAUAAAUGGCUUUUUUUUUUUUUUUGCAACUGGGACUGUUCAUUUUAUAUCUAUAUUUGGGUUUAAAUUUCUGUUAAAUGCUGUUCCUUCCCAAAACUUUGAAUUUUUCUAUUUUUGGCAGCAGUCAAAACUCUUGGUAGAACUUUGGAUCUCAAUUUUCUUGGUGCUUUCUGAACAUCUUCCACUGGUAGAUAUUAAACCAGAGCUUAAUGCUUCCUUAAAUAUA